rnacentral:rRNA from 1 species
GAUGAACGCUGGCGGCGUGCCUAAUACAUGCAAGUCGAGCGAACGGACGAGAAGCUUGCUUCUCUGAUGUUAGCGGCGGACGGGUGAGUAACACGUGAAUAACCUACCUAUAAGACUGAGAUAAAUUCGGGAAACCGGAGCUAAUACCGGAUAAUCUUUUGAACCGCAUGGUUCAAAAGUGGAAGACGGUCUUGCUGUCACUUAAAGAUGGAUCCGGGCUACAUUAACUAGUUGGUAAGGUAACGGCUUACCAAGGAUACGAUGCAUAACCGGCCUGAUAUGGAGAUCGCCCACUCUGGAACGGAGCCGCACUCCCAACCACUAAGGGAGGCAGCAGAAGGGUAUCUUCGGCAAUGGGCGAAAGCCUGACGGAGUAACGCCGCGUUAGUGAUGAAGGUCUUCUAAUCGUAAAACUCUGUUAUUAGUGAAGAACAUAUGUGUAAGUAAUUGCACACAUCUUGACGGUACCUAAUCAGAAAGCCACGGCUAACUUCGUG